GGCGAACGCUGGCGGCGUGCCUAACACAUGCAAGUCGAACGUGAAAAUCCUUCGGGAUGAGUAAAGUGGCGUACGGGUGAGUAACACGUAGGUAAUCUACCAAAGAAUCUGGAAUAACCUGCCGAAAGGCGGGCUAAUACUAGAUAGUGCGCAUGGGUCAUAACGAUCUGUGCGGGAAAGGGAGCUCGCAAGAGCCUUCGUUCUUUGAUGAGCCUGCGUCUCAUUAGCUAGUUGGUGAGGUAAUUGCUCACCAAGGCUAUGAUGAGUAGCUGGUCUAAGAGGAUGAUCAGCCACACUGGAACUGAAACACGGUCCAGACUCCUACGGGAGGCAGCAGUGGGGAAUAUUGCGCAAUGGACGAAAGUCUGACGCAGCAACGCCGCGUGAGUGAAGAAGGCCUUCGGGUUGUAAAGCUCUGUCGGGCGGGACGAACAAGCUUAGGGUUAACAGCCCUAGGACCUGACGGUACCGCCAAAGGAAGCACCGGCUAACUCUGUGCCAGCAGCCGCCGUAA
rnacentral:rRNA from 1 species